CCUACGGGAGGCAGCAGUGGGGAAUAUUGCACAAUGGGGGAAACCCUGAUGCAGCGACGCCGCGUGAGUGAAGAAGUAUUUCGGUAUGUAAAGCUCUAUCAGCAGGGAAGAAAAAAGACGGUACCUGACUAAGAAGCCCCGGCUUACUACGUGCCAGCAGCCGCGGUAAUUUGUAGGGGGCAAGCGUUAUCCGGAUUUACUGGGGGUAAAGGGAGCGUAGACGGGAAUACGAGUCGGAGGUGAAAUGUCCGGGCUCAACCCGCGUAUUGCUGUGGAAACUGUAUGGCUGGAGUGCUGGAGAGGUAAGCGGAAUGCCUGGUGUAGCGGUGAAAUGCGUAGAUAUUAGGAGGAACACCAGUGGCGAAGGCGGCUUACUGGACAGUAACUGACGUUGAGGCUCGAAAGCGUGGGGAGCAAACAGGAUUAGAUACCCUAGUAGUC
rnacentral:rRNA from 1 species